UACGAAGGGGGCUAGCGUUGCUCGGAAUGACUGGGCGUAAAGGGUGCGUAGGCGGCGUUGCAAGUCAGACGUGAAAUUCCCGGGCUCAACCUGGGGACUGCGUUUGAGACUGUGAUGCUAGAGGAUGGAAGAGGCUCGUGGAAUUCCCAGUGUAGAGGUGAAAUUCGUAGAUAUUGGGAAGAACACCGGUGGCGAAGGCGGCGAGCUGGUCCAUUACUGACGCUGAGGCACGAUAGCGUGGGGAGCAAAC
rnacentral:rRNA from 1 species